rnacentral:rRNA from 1 species
AGUCUGACGGAGCAACGCCGCGUGAGUGAUGAAGGUUUUCGGAUCGUAAAACUCUGUUGUUAGGGAAGAACAAGUACCGUUCGAAUAGGGCGGCACCUUGACGGUACCUAACCAGAAAGCCACGGCUAACUACGUGCCAGCAGCCGCGGUAAUACGUAGGUGGCAAGCGUUGUCCGGAAUUAUUGGGCGUAAAGCGCGCGCAGGCGGUUUCUUAAGUCUGAUGUGAAAGCCCCCGGCUCAACCGGGGAGGGUCAUUGGAAACUGGGGAACUUGAGUGCAGAAGAGGAGAGUGGAAUUCCACGUGUAGCGGUGAAAUGCGUAGAGAUGUGGAGGAACACCAGUGGCGAAGGCGACUCUCUGGUCUGUAACUGACGCUGAGGCGCGAAAGCGUGGGGAGCGAACAGGAUUAGAUACCCUGGUAGUCCACGCCGUAAACGAUGAGUGCUAAGUGUUAGAGGGUUUCCGCCCUUUAGUGCUGCAGCAAACGCAUUAAGCACUCCGCCUGGGGAGUACGGUCGCAAGACUGAAACUCAAAGGAAUUGACGGGGGCCCGCACAAGCGGUGGAGCAUGUGGUUUAAUUCGAAGCAACGCGAAGAACCUUACCAGGUCUUGACAUCCUCUGACAACCCUAGAGAUAGGGCUUCCCCUUCGGGGGCAGAGUGACAGGUGGUGCA